rnacentral:piRNA from 1 species
UGACAAGUAGGGCUACUGCAGCAAUGG